CUGGGCUUGACAUGCAGGGAAAUCUCACAGAGAUGUGGGGUCCGUAAGGGCCCUGCACAGGUGGUGCAUGGCUGUCGUCAGCUCGUGUCGUGAGAUGUUGGGUUAAGUCCCGCAACGAGCGCAACCCUCGCCUUUAGUUGCCAUCAUUCAGUUGGGCACUCUAGAGGGACCGCCGGCGACAAGCCGGAGGAAGGUGGGGAUGACGUCAAGUCCUCAUGGCCCUUACGGGCUGGGCUACACACGUGCUACAAUGGCGGUGACAAUGGGACGCUAAGGGGCAACCCUUCGCAAAUCUCAAAAAGCCGUCUCAGUUCGGAUUGGGCUCUGCAACUCGAGCCCAUGAAGUUGGAAUCGCUAGUAAUCGUGGAUCAGCACGCCACGGUGAAUACGUUCCC
rnacentral:rRNA from 1 species